CUGCUCUGAGCGUCGCUCCCGUUGCAACUUCCCCAUUUUCUUCCCAAAAGUGGAGACGAAUGAAAGAAGACGUUUCGAAUGCUUUUUUUACUGGAGACAGCGGAUGUAGACAAAGCCUCAUGAGGGGCUGCCUUGCUACUGACUGUCACUUUUAAUCUCAGGUACUGACCGGUAGCCGCGUAGUUGAAGUGGAGGUUUGGGUUGCUAUGGUAACUUAUCCAAGCAAAUUCCCAUACAGGAGAACGGCCCUCGCCACUGUCACUUAUUUCUAUGACAUGCUUGACUAAGAGUUUCAGCCAUCAUGAAGAAAAGUAAGCAGCAGAAAGCCACUGGAGGGAAGGUGUUUUUGUCUCCACCACGCUCCCUAAGCCCAGGCUCCUCUCUGUCCAAUCCAAGGACAAGGACUCCUUCUCCUGUUAGUUUCCCUAAAGCAAUUGGUCAACAAGUGACUUUCACAGAGGAGAGUGAUGCCGGUGGCUCUGAAUUACAGGAAAAUAAUGGUGAAAAGCCAAAUCCUGGCAUUCGUUAUUUAACUGAAGGACUGAUAAAGAAAAUAUCUCAGCAGGAGAAUCUAGCACUGGUGCAGUCUUUAAACCUCUCAUUGGCAAAGAGUGGAGGCAAGAAGCUCAAGUUUAUUGAAAACUUGGAGAAGCUAGAAAAACUGCAAAUCUUGCACCUAAGCAACAACAUGAUUCAGAAAAUCGAAAAACUGGAUAAACAGCUGAAAUUGAAAGAGCUCCAUCUGUCCAACAACCAAAUCAGAAAAAUUGAAGGCCUGGAGCACAUGACACAACUGAAGCAUCUAAACCUUUCUGGAAAUGAAAUUGAGAAUGUACCAGCUUGGGUUGGGAAGAAAUUACGAUCUCUGCAGACCUUGAACCUUAGGCAGAACAGAAUCUCUUCACUAUAUGAUAUCACUAAGCUAAAACCACUGAAAGACCUCACAAAACUAGUCUUGGCAGAAAAUCCUCUAGCCACUUUACCACAUUACAGGCUGUUUGUGGUGUUCCACCUGCGAUCAGUGGAAUUUCUGGACGAGCAACCGGUCACUGAAGAGGAGCGACAAUUGGCACAUGAACGCUUUCAUUUAGAGGAGGUGGAGCGUCUGGAGCAGGAGCUUGAGAAACGGCUUCAGGAGAUCAAGAACUUACAGGAAGAGCAGUCUAUGGCCUUGGAGGAACUGAACCACCAAGAAGAAAUGAACAAAUCCUUGCAAAAUAAAGCUGAGGAACAGAAACAGAUGCAGAUGGAGCUUGAAAGAGAGAUGGGAACCAAGAAUGAGUUGCUACUGUCUUGGUUAUAUAUAGUCCCCCACCUGUCCAGUCUUUGUCCCUCAAUGCAGCUGAAACAGAAGACUGCUGAGCUUACCCGUGCUUGUCAGAAGCAGUAUGAACUUGAGCAGGAGCUAGCCUUUUACAAAAUCGAUGCCAAGUUUGAACCGUUCCCUUUCGUUCCGAAUGAGGAAAUGGCUCUUGAGAAUUCCCCAGAUGAAAGCCCCUACAUUGGGAAAGCAAAGUACAAAAGAAAUGCAUAUGCCAGAGAGAGCUAUGUUCCUGAAGAGAACCCAAAGCAGGCAACAGCAGGAAAGCUGCAAAUGAACUUACCAGCUGAAGCACAAUCCAGACUUCAGGACACACUUGAUGCUCAGAAGUUAGCUGAGGAGCGUUUAAUGCAACUUCAAAAGGAUAUUGGAGAUGCUGAACAGCAGAUCCUAAGAGCUACAGAAGAAUUGAGGCAACUAGAAGAGACAGUGUCUCAGAAACGGAUAUCAGAGGCAGAAAAGGAGCACCUUCGUCAGCAACUGCACAGAAAGAUUCAGCUGUUAACUAAGUUGCGUCAGGAAGCUGAAGAUUUGGAGCAUCAGAUGGAGCGCCAGAGAGCAGAAAUGACGAAAAAGCAAGCAGAGCUGGAUGAGUUGCAGAAAACUUUAAACUCUCUUGAUCCUAGUGACCCCCGACAUGCUCAUGUGAAAGCUCAAAUGGUAAAUAAAAGUCAGCAGUUGGACAUGAUGAGUAAAGAAUAUCGAGAGCUCGAGAACCGGCUGGAUGAAAUGCUGGCCAGAAUUGCCAAGGAGACCGAGGAGAUCAAGGACCUGGAGCAGCAGCUAACAGAGGGCCAGAUAGCAGCAAAUGAAGCUUUGAAGAGGGACUUGGAAGGAAUCAUUGCGGGGUUGCAAGAGUACCUUAAAAGUGUGAAGAAUCAGGCAAGACAGACCAGUGAAGAGUGUCGUCAGCUGAAAAAAGAGAGGGAGGCCUUGCUCACUAGGCUCGCCAAACUAGAAGAUGAAAGGAACCAAAUGGAGGUUGUUGCUUUGGAUGCAGACAGCAUGAGACAGGAGCUAUUGGACCUACGACGUACUUCUCAGCAGCUACAGAAGGAAAAUGAGCAACUGAAGAAGGCCCAAGGUGACCUGAGCGCCUAUGAGGCAGAACUUGAAGUUCAGCUACAGGAACGGGAUACAGAAGCUAACCAAUUGAAAGAUGAGUUGGCAAGACAGCGGCGUCUUAGCCAGAUGGAACAUUCGGCUCUACAAGCAGAACUAAACAAGGAGAGGCAGGCUUUGGAGAAUGCCAGGGCUCAGGCACAGCAGGCCACAGAACGAGAACAGGACAACAAGGAACUGCAGGCACAGCUCAAGAAAUUUCAGGUGGAAAACUCUUCAUUAAAGGAGAAACUUGAAGAGCUUCAGAACCAAAUGGAGAAAAUGAAGGACACCAUGCUUGAACCUGAAGAAGUGACAACUAGAAUAGAGGAGUUACGAAGAAAAGUACAAACAGGAGUUGGAGAAAUAAGACCAUACAGCUCAAAGGACAUUAUUGGAAAGAGCCUAUCUGAGCUGCAGCAAGAGCUGGAAAAGGCCCUGUCCCGUUCGGAAAAAGAAAAGGAUGAUGCUGUGCGACGGCAGAACAAGCUGACACAGGAGAUGGCCACACUUCGGGAGAAGAUGCGUAAAGCACAGGACAACUACAAGGCAGCCUGCGAUGAAGCAGCAGAAGCUAAGAUUGAAGCAGAGAAACAAGAAGCUGAAAUGCGAAUCCUACAGCUGGAGAAGGAAGUAGACCAUUUGCAAGAGAAGCUGCACAGUAUGGAAAACUUGCAGGCUUUGACUGACCAGCAAUUACAGAAUAUUGAAGAUGAGCGAGACAAGCUACAAGAGGAACUGGAGCACCAGGACAAAAAGAUGAAAUUGGAAGACUCUAAGACCCAGAAGAAGCUGAUGGGACUAGACCAAGAACUGAGUGAAUUGAAAAAGUCCAUGUUAACAGUAGACAAGGCUGCAGCCAGACAACUUUCCAACACAAAGAGGCAAUUAAAAUCACUUCAUGGGACAAUUCAUAAACUCAAUCAGGAGAGAGCAGAGGAGAUGAAUGAGCUGGAAGCUUUUAGAGCUCAGGCCGAGCAGGCAGCCCGUGACUUAAACAGAGCUGAUGAGGAGAUCAGUCUGCUUCAGCGGCUGCUCCAGGACAGAGAGAAGCAGAUGCUAGAACAGGCGAGUCACACCAAUGAUCGAACAUUAGCUGAUACUUUCCAGCAGCUUGAAUUGGAAAAGCUGAGCAAGACUUUAGACAGACAACGAGCAGAAAUUGAACGCCUCCGUGACCUCCUGGGAAGAGCCAGGGACGAUAACCCUGGGUAUAUGGAAAGGCUGAUGGAUGAAAUCCGAGCCCUCAGAAAUACAGUGGCCCAGCAGAAUGAUUUCAUGUCCAAUGUCUAUGACCCUGUUAGCAAGAAGGGCUACUGGUGCUAUGUGCCCUCUCCACCCAAUCCCCCUAGUAUUGGAUCUCAAGGCACCAGAGACUCUGGCCUUGGGUCUCAGAAUCCAGCCUCUCCUAGCAGAGGAUGCAGUCAUGGUCAGCAUGGAAGAAGAGAAGCAGAUGAUCCUGAAGGUGGCUACUGGAUUUACUCUCCCAAUCGAAACCAUAGAGUACCAGGACACAGAGGUGGAAACUACAAUGUGUCUGACAGCAGCAGAGGUAGUGGUGAACCAGGGCAUAUUUUUAUCCCACCUCCAGGCUCUGUUAUCUACACAUUACUCCCCGAUGGAUCACCAGUACCUCAGGGCACCGUGGUCUAUGGACCUCCUCCCUCUUACAUUGGCAUGCCAGUGAGCCCAGGAACAGUAGUUUAUGGUCCACCCCCAUCAGGGGUUCACUUGGUAUAUGGUCCUCCGCCAGCGAACUUCACAGUUCCCCUCACACCAGUUGGAGUUCUACACUGUAAUGUACCAGAUCAUCAUGAGCUGGAAAAUAAGCUUUCUCAGCUCAUGAAAGAUCGAAAGAGGUUGCAGAAGGAGUCUAAACGCCCAGAGACAGUAGAUGGACUCCACGGGGAGGUUUGGGCAUUGAAAGAGGAACGCAAUAUGCUGGAGAAAGAGACAGAGGAAUUGCACAGAGCCAUGCAGAGACGCUACAGACGAAAGGAUUUUCUUGAGGGAACAAUUGGCUCUUUGGUCAGCGAACUAGAAAUGGAGAAAUCUCUGAAGCAACAAGAUGACGUUGCUAAUGAGAUUGAAUGUCUUGAAAAAACUCUACUGAAACGAAGGGCUGAGCUAAGAGAGGCAGAUCGCCUACUUACAGAAGCUGAAAGUGAACUUAAAACAACCCGUGAAAGAACUGAGGACUUCAUCCAGCAGUAUAGUAAUGCUAAGAGACGCCUGGCAGAUACAGAGAAAGAAAGCGAGGAACUGGAGAAGCGGGCACAGGACACUGCUACUCAGCUUGUGAAGGCCAGCAAAGAGCUGAGGAUAUUAGAGGGUGAUCUGGAAGAGCUGAAACAGUACAGAAGUGAACAGGAGAGUGUCCUUCAGGAAAUCAACACAGUUGUCUCUGCCAGGGACUUGGAGUUUCAAACUUUGGGUCAGAAAAUUGAGAAUAUGACUGAAAUUUUGGAGAAGUUACAGGAAGACUUAAAGAAGGUAGAAACCAGGAGGACACAACAGCUAGAAGUGCUAAAAGAAGUUGAAAACCUAAUCUCUACAAGAAGAUGUGAGCUUGAAAAGUUAAACAGCGAGGUUGAACAACAGCAAGAAGAAUUAAUGGUGUUGGACAAGAGACUAGGCCAGAAAAAGGAAGAGGGACGCAUCCUGCAAGUGAAUGUGGAACAGAGAAGGGCAGGUCUGGUAGGAGUGCUCCGUGAGGGCGAAGAGGAGGUGGCUGAGCUGCAUCACCAAAUAAAGGAGCUGAAGGUGGAACUGGAGCAUCUGUCGGCACAAAAAGGAGAACUGAAUGCUCAGCUCAGUGAGAAAAGGGCUCAGCUUACCCUGCUCAAACAGGAGAUGCUCAAGGAGGAGGAGGCUCUCCAGAACAUGGUGUCCCAGAUCAACAAACAUAAAACAGAGCUGAAGCAUGUGCUGGAAAUGUUACAGCUAGAAAACAAUGAACUACAGGGCAUCCGGGUUCAACACGAUCAGAAAGUGAAUGAGCUAGAGAAGAGUCAGGUGGCAGUACUCCAGGAAAAGGUGGAGCUUCAAGCCUUGCAGCAGGCAACACAGCGCCAGAGAGCAGAAGGUGAAAGACAGAGGCAGCUGAUAGAGAAGGACAGGCAAAAGCUAGAAGAGCUUAGACUUCAGGCCCACUCUCUGCAAGAAAGUGUGGCCACUUUAAGCAAAGAAAAGAGCCUCCUGGAAGAAACGUGCCAAAGCUUAAACAACAAGCUUGCUCAAACUAAGCGUGCUGUUGCAACAGCAGAAGAAAACAACAGAACAGAACAAUGCAAACUAGAAAAGCUGGAGUCUGAACUGACCCGUAUGAGGCAGGAGAUUACUCAGGGAAACAACCAAAAGCAAGAAUUCAGCCACGAAGCCAGUGCUGUCCAGCAGCAGAUAAAAGAAAAAUCGGAAGAGUUGAUAUUACUACAAGAUGACCUCCGUGACACAAAAGAGCAGAUACAUCGGGUUGAAGAGGACUUACAAGAUGCCAUCCGGAAGCGGAAUGACCUUCUGUCAGAGCAUGCCACCCUCAAGGAGUCAAUCACCCAUAGCUCUCUGAAAUACCAAGAGCACCAGCAUGAGCAGGAGAAGUUGGAGCAAGAAUUGGAGCAGCUCCAUUGGAAGAUCAGUGACAAGAAAGCCAGGAUGGCACAGCAAGAAAAGUGUUUACAGGCCCUGCAGACAGAGAUUGAGGAGGAACAGCACGCAAAGCAACAGAAGAUCAAAGUGCUACAAGAGCAACUCCAUUCUGUGGAAGAAACUCUUGCAGGCAAGCAAAGCCAACUGGAGGAGGUGGUUGCCCAAUUGGCUGACCUGGAAGCCCAGGGCAGGAGGCUCCACUAUGAUCAGGACCAGUGUGCUCAGCUGGAGAAGAAGAUGACUGAAAUCAGGCAACAGCUGGAUGAAAGAGAGGAAAAAUUCCAGAUAGGCACUCGCAACUCUCAACUGCUGCGUGAGGAACUUGGCACCUACCAAAAUGAAGUAGCAAAGCUGCAAGAACAGCUGGGCACAGAACGACGGAUGACUGAAAAGAAGAUGAAGGCAUUGCAGGCUGAGAGGGACUCAGACAGGGCACGAUUAGAAAGUUCUCUCAAAAUACUGCAACAGGAAAAGAAUCAAGUGCAUCGAAGCCUAGCUUUGGCUGAGCAGGCGGCCUAUGACAAUCACGAGAGAUCCCGAACACUGCAGAAGGAACUCGGGGCGCUCCGGCACAAGUACUUCCGUCUGAAGGAGAAGUUUCAGAGCCAGGAGGAGAAGAUCCAGCGAAUGGAGACUAGGAAUGCCAUGGUGGUGUUUAAUGGUGACCCAGAAAAGGUGGAGCCGGAGUCAGAUAUGGAGUCUUCAGAGCAUGGCAGCCAAAAGGAGAACAGCCAUCCUUUCUUGGAAAUUGGGAGACGAGCUGAGAGCAGAGGAGUGCUGGGCCUGUUUAACUUGGAGGAGGAGCAGUGGCGAGGUGAGGCGCUGAGGGAACGACUACAACAGCAAGAGGAUCACUUGAAGGCCCAGCUCCGUAAGCGCAUGUGGACACAAGAGGAGGCCAUGCAUCAACGCAGGCAACAGACAGAGGGAAGCCUGAUCAGCCUGCGCAGGAAAGUGGAAGCACUCGACAACCUGGUCAGCGGCGGGAACAGUGGCUCCUCAGCUGAGCCUUACCCACCCCUCUCCAGGGAUGGCACCGUGCAGAAGCGCAGCAAGCUUCUCAGUUCGGACGGCCAAAGACCCCACGAUGUGAGAACACGUGACGCCAGCAGUGAGAGCCUGGAUGUGCCGUCCAGUCCUGACCAAGACACAGGGAAAAGUCAGCACCUCAUCACACAGUGGAGCUGAAGUCGUGUUACGCAAAACCCAAAGGGACGCCGGUCCGCUACCUCACGAGCUCGUCUGCCGCACAGAACUCCACUUGCCAGACAUCAUUAGCAUGAAGCAGACAGAUAAAGAAGAUACAGUCAGCUCCAGAAGUCUUUGGACAGUGACCCCCAAUGUACACCACCACAAUAAUCAAGAUGGGAUUCAACUGUAGACUUUCAGCUUUCAUUUAAGGGGUUUUCCAAAAAAUAUCAUUUGAACCGUUGAGGAAUGACGGCCAUUUUUCUGCAUAGCCAGACUCCAUUCCCAUGAGCUCAAACGUAUUUGGACAAACUUAACAUCAUCCUAAAUAUGCUCAUCAGUUUCGAUAUUUGGUUGAAAGUCCUUUGCAGUCAACGACUGCCUGAAGUCUGUCACCCAUGGACAUCUCCAACUGCUGGGUUUCCACCCCCAGUGAUGCUUUGCCAGGCCUUUACUGCUGCUG